GGUGACUUAGCACUCGGACAGCGCUUCGAUACUCUCAAAACAAUUUCCUUCGAUAUAACCUAGUAUCAACACCACUAGGGUUUAGUCUAAUGAUAACCGCGACUAAUUAAUAGUCUAGCUAUUAUUAUUAUUAUAUAAGCGUUAAAUAACACUCAAUAUAACUCAUAAUAAUAGCCCAAAUAAUUAUUUUAAAGACCUAAUAACAUUACUAUAUCGAAACAUAAGCUACGCUAAAGAUAGGGUAGGUACAGCUCACUUACAGCGGGUUUUCUCGAAAACCGGGCAUCGCUGGAGCAGCGUUCCUGAGCCGAAAGGCUCUUUUCUUGGAGCCUUCGGGCGCUCCGGGGCUUCCGCCUCGUGCUAGGGAGUUACCCUAGGCUUUGGGGGGUUAGGGAGGCUUAGAGAGAGAGUUCAGAUAGAGAAAGAAGAGGGUUGAGGGGUGAGGAAAUGAGGGAACCCGGCACCUCUAUAUAUAGGGUGAAAUCCUGACGGACUCACCGAGUCGGGUUACUAACUAGCCGAGUCAGUGCCACAUGUCAUCACCUGAUGGCUUUCCUUGGGGAGAAAGCCUUGGCCCAUAUUCAGCCAUGUCACCCUUUUUGCAGCAGCACCCUGCUGACUUCUAAACCCCGUAACUUUCGCAUACGAGCUCCGUUUUUUACGUUCUUUAUAUCCACGCGUAGGUAAAAACAAGAUCUACAACUUUCGUUUAGACUCCAUCGGUUAAUUCUCGACCGAUCUCAAAUUUAACAGUAGUAGGCGUUUAGACUGUUAUAUGACCGCGAAGAAUUUGUAACUCCUUCAUACGGACUACGUUUUCGUCCAUCUUUUUACCGUUGAGUUCCUAUUAAUGAGAUCUUCAACUCUCAUUUAGGUCGCAUAAGCCAAAAACCGCUCGAACUAAAAUUCGACUUUCAGGUCGUGCACUGCUAAGCCGAAUCUUAGAAAAAUCAUAACUUCUUCAUACGAAGUCAGAUUUGGGCGUUCUUUUUAUGGAUUUUCUCGGUUUAACAUAUUCUACGACUUUCGUUUAGAUCACUAAGUCUAAAUCUUUCUCUAUCGUAAAUUCACUUUUUACGCUUCCUGGUGUCGUGCCGGUUCCGUCGCGAAACUUCGACGAGUCAUAACUUCUUCGUUAUAACUCGGAUUUCGGCGUUCUUUAUAUGUAUGGUAACCUUGUGACAUAUACUACAACUUGGUUCAAAUUAUUUAUUCUAAAUAAUCUUUUGUCGAAAAGUCGUUUUCGACCCCUAUUAUCUCUAUAUUGACUAGCCCGGAUCUACGGGCGUUACAAUUAUCUCCCCCUUAGGAUGAUUACGUCCCGGAAUCAUCAACGAAACAUGGUAGUAUAAUGACUCCAUAAGUUAUCUCUUCAUCCUAGGUAAUAAUUGUAACUUCUAUGUUGCUUCAAACGGGUAUCUAACUCUUGGACUCCUUGAUUGCAGGCAGUGCUUGGUCUUGCACCUGCUCGUUAGACUUUCAAUCAUGACCUUCGUGUCACAAGCUCAUUCUUUAUCAGAGACACCUUCUUCUUCUUAGGAUAAGUUAAUUUGAUUUCUGCUAUUGACCGAUGUGUCAUAUUCUAAUGACCUAUUAUCGUAUGUAACAAUGCUUAGACUCAGGUCUCUUAGAGUCAAAUUCCAGAAUGGAAUAUGCCUUCCUUCAUGGUCUAAUGUGAUAUAAUCACAUUUUAACAUGUAGCAUUUCUAGCUACCAACUUCUUUAACAACGAGCGUGAUACUUCUAUUGAUCGCUUUGAUUUCAAUCGUUUGGUUUAAGUCGGACGCUACAUCAAACUUGGUUCUCUGAACCACGUAACCUACUCAUCAUAGUCGGACUCAAUGUGAUAUGACCACAAGGGUCGGGAUAACAACAACUUUCUUAGUCACUACCGAAACAAUGGUAACGACAUACUUGAAUAAAAUGAAAUCAAUUACUAGCUUCUUGGUAACCUUGUGACUUUCCCUGAUCCAAGCGUGAGUCCUGUGCUUCCGGUAGUAUAUGCAUCUACUACCUUUCACACCUACUCAUACUCGUCCCAAGUAUUGUCUCGCAGUUUUCCAAGUCACCAUACAAGAAAAUCACAUAACAGUUUAACACAUCAGAUAACAAAACGAAGGCNUCGGACGCUACAUCAAACUUGGUUCUCUGAACCACACAACAUACUCAUCGUAGUCGGACUCGAUUCGAUAUGACCACUAGGGUCGGAAUAUCAACAAUCUUCUUAGUCAUUACCGAAACGAUGGUAACAACACACUUGAAUAAAACGAAAUCAAUUACUAGCUUCUUGGUAACCUUGUGACUUUCCCUGAUCCAAGUGUGAGUCCUGUGCUUCCGGUAGUAUAGGCCUCUACUACCAUCCACACCUACUCAUACCCGUCCCAAGUAUUGUCUCGCAGUUUUCCAAGUCACCAUACAAGAAAAUCACAUAACAGUUUAACACAUCAAAUAUCAAAACGAAGGUUUUAUAUUAUUCCUUAAAAUGUUUACAUAGGUGUUCAAGUUCACCCUAAACUAUGCCCCUAACAGGCUACAUCGCGAGGUACUAUCUACACGAUUACUCCAUAACUCGAUCCUUGGAUGUCAAGCGUUAACUCCUGAAUCUUCGCAUUGUCAUCUGCUUCGUCAAGAAUCAUUUGAAAUGUUCUCGCCUUUUGCUUUGGCGGCACAUAUGGCUUUGUAGCCCCCUCUCUCUUUGGGUAGUCUUGCUUUCCUUUUUGGACCUUGAAGAUCCUUCAAACUUCCGCUUCUCUCCUGACUUAUCUUUUUCUAGACCCUUUUCUCUUACCUGGGCCUCUACGUUCUUAGCUUCCCUAACAGCUGUUUUCAAGGUAGUUGCCAUUUUGACCAUUGGGCCAAAGUCAGUGGGUAAUCCGUUAGCAAAUCUAUCAAUCUUGGAGAGUUCAGUAGGAACAAAGUAGGGAAAUAGCUUCAUCCUCUCGGUGAAUGUGGUGGCGUACUCAUCAACACCCAUCUUCCCUUUCUUCAAGUUCUGAAACUCAUUGUUCAGGUCUAUCAGAUCUAUCUCUGAGCAGUACUACAUUUUCAACUGUUCCAAAAACUCUUCCCAUGACAUCCUUAGGGCUUCUCCUCGUGGCAUCGUAUCUGCCAGUAGCUUCCACCAGCUCAAGACUCCUGUUUUCAGUUGUCUUACUGCGAAGANCGCUACAGUCGCAGCUCUCAAACACCAUUUCCAUCUCGGAGAUCCAAUCCAUAAUCUCAACAGGCUUUGGGCUUCCUGAGAGACUUGGUGGUUUCGCACCCAAGAAAUUCUUGUACAUUCGCCCAUCCUUGUCGUUUCUCCUCUCCAGGCCAUCUUGAGUCCCCACUUGACUCACUUGGCGACUGUAGUUCCCUUCCUCCGAUUGCUCGGGAAUCAGCUCGGGUUGCUCAGUGGGCAUAGUAGGUUCGUCCCUAUUCGACAUCCUCCUCAUUUCUUCCCUUUAUUCAGUUAGCAUAGCCCGAAUCAUGGCUUGAACUCUAGCCAUCGUGACUGGCUCAGGUGCAACUUCUUCUACAACAGGUAUUUGCUGAACCACUGGGGGUUGGUUCCUAUUCUCAUUUGCAUUCACGUUUCCGCUACGGGUCCUUGCCAUCUUGAUCUAUACACCGAAUAAGGUGAAUCCAUACCUUUACUUACGACUGACGUUUAAAUCAUCCUUGUCACUCCGAAACGUUUACAUGGUAGUUCUAAUAUCGUAGUUGUACGUUUAGAAUCCUAAACACGUAAGGUUUCCAGAUCCGGUCGGCAACAGAACAUAGAUCCGAAUAAAUAACAGCAUAUAAGGCAUAAAGCAUUUAUCACAAAAAAGCAUUUUAGGCAUAAUUCCUAAAAUAAGCUAGUGCUCACACCUCACAAUCAUCGCUUAGCAUUCUAAGUUUAAGUCUAGAAAUAAAUCCAUAUUCCUAGUUCGCUUAAACUAAUGCUCUGAUACCAACUGUGACAUCCCCAUUUUCACGGCCAGAAAAGACCGAUGUUGUUUAUGCUUUAUAAAAAUCAGAGUACUUCAUUUUAUAAAAAUGUUGCGGAAUUUGUUCCCAGAAAAACAUGGUAAAUACGUUAUUAAAACAUUUUCGAAGAAACGUAUUUAUUUCAUUUUAAAACGUUUGGGAUGUCAUCGUUAAUACAGAAACAUAAGCAUAAACAGAACUUACAAUUAUUUACACUAGUGAUCUACAUCUCUUUAAAUCUCUCAGUGUAAUGUCACUUCAUAUCAACACCUGUGAUAUAAAUAAACUGAGUGGGUCAGGUUGGGAAACCUGGUGAGUACAUAGGGUUUUCAACCCACAAUAAUAUAAUUAUUAUGUUUAAACAAUCAAACAAUCAACCCAAUUACCCAUCCCCAUUAUCUUCUUUAUUCUUAAGGAUCUACCCUAAGAAUCAGCUAUUUCUCAUUCAUUCAUUCCUAAGGAUCAUCCUAAGGAAACAACAUGAAGUCCAUUGUUGCCAAUGACACAUUGGUCAAGCGCAGCUGCUAAUAUUGUCACUUAGGCUCAGCUGCCAGAAUUAGGACAUUUUCUAUGAGGCGCUUCUGCCGGUAUUGACCUUUAAACACUACUGUCAUGGUCAUAAGGCUCCCUAUUAGGCGCAACUGCCGAUACUAUCCUUAGAGCGCAGCUGCUAGGACGUUUACCGUAGAUCUAAAUCAUCUACGGGUUGUGGCGCAGCUGCCAGUGCUCAUCUAUAGGGUACUAGGUCCACUGCUGCCAAUGUAUACCUAUAGGGCACUAGGUCCGUACUACUAAUGUUCCUCUAUUUCAGCUUUUAUCCAUCAUCAUUCAUCUACCCAUGUUUUACCCAACAUAUUUUGUAGAUAUAAAAUACUUUAUACAGUUUACAUCAUUUAAAACAUGUAUAAAAAUCUUUCACCAGCAUAGACAACAAGUAUUCAGACAAUAUGCACACAUAACACGUAAUUUAUAUUAAAAUACUUCAUAUCUAUGUGUAAGAUGAAAGAGACCAUGCACUCACCUGAUUAGGUGGUGAUUCCGAACUCAGACAGCACUUCGUUAUCUCAAAACAAUUUUCCUCGACAAAACCUAGUAUCAAUACCACUAGGGUUUAGUUUUUAACGUUAACCGCGACUAAUUAAUAGUCUAGCUAUUAUUAUUAUUAUAUAAGCGUUAAAUAACACUCAAUAUAACUCAUAAUAAUAGCCCAAAUAAUUAUUUUAAAGACCUAAUAACAUUACUAUAUCGAAACAUAAGCUACGCUAAAGAUAGGGUAGGUACAGCUCACUUACAGCGGGUUUUCUCGAAAACCGGGCAUCGCUGGAGCAGCGUUCCU
rnacentral:lncRNA from 1 species